GCUCCUUUUACAAAAGGGGACGCUUUAGAACGCUUGUCUACAAAAAGAAGUGAGCUGAAACAUUGUGCUAAUAGGAUUUGCAGCAUAAAAUAUGGCUAAUUUCUCUUGUAUGACUACAGGUGGCAGUGUAGAAGCCAAGAACAAAAAUUGGCAGAAAUUGUGUUCUGUGUACGAGAAUAUGAAGAGUGUACUCAUGACUAAGCACAGGAACCUGGAAAACCACAGGCUUUAGUCAGGUGAUCCCUGAUGAGUAGCCAGCCCACCAAGAAGGGAUUGCAGCACACAGUUGGGUUUCUACGUUAAAGCGCCCAGAGAACACAACAGAGGGAAUCCAGAUGAACUUCAGUCUUGUCUGAAUGGCCAAGCUGCCGAAAUUAGACCAUCACUGCCAGAAAUUCAGUGAUGCACCGUUCUUCAUUCUCACUCUGCAGUAGGACAAAAGUCUCAGCCUCUGACCCUCAAAAUAACCACCCAAAAAUGCCACCACCAAAAACUAUACUGACCUUUCCAAAAACAGUAUUUCUCAGCAAUGAGGACAAUAAUGAAAGCACUUCUUACCCCAUUAGAGACCAGCUGCUAUAAUUUUUCAAUGUUCUGUUUUUUCACCAUGAAAGGUGACUGUAGAUGAUCCAGCUCAGUAUUAGGUUGGAAUGAGAUGCACAAUGUGCUUCAGGAGAUGUGGCAUGGGACAGGGAGCCAAGAGCUCCUUAGGUGCAGCUCACUUCCUGAUGGAAACUUCUGUUGGUCAAGACAUUUAAAUAUUCCCAGCCUCUUAUUUUCUAAAGGAGACUAAAGACUACCACUUCACAGGGAUAUUAUGAGGAUUUACCUUAAAAUGUACUUCGGAAGUAUUUAUAAUAGUUAAUCAGCUUUUCCAUUAUGGAGUACUUAUGUUAUUUGGCUGGCUUCAGCCACACGAAUUCACACAAAUGCUAUACAUAGAAUACUUUGGUGGAAUAUUCUGUGUUUGGCUCAUCUGAGUCACGGUUUCCAUUCAAAAAGAACUGAUUGUUUCAAUCUAAAUUAUUUUCAUGAAGAACCUCGUAAUAAAUGCUUUGGGAAGAACUCAGAGAUGGAACAUGAUAAAAUUGUUAGCAUAAAAUAUCUCAUCAGAGUCAAAGGCAGAUACGAGUGCUGCCUACCAGGGAGCUGCAGAAUGGAAGAAUGGGGGCAUUUGUGGUAUAGCACAGGAAAAGGAAAAGCACUGUGCUAGCAAAGAGAGGACAAUGCAGAUCACUUCGUGUUGUGCCAGCAGCUGGCCCUGAAUAAGUUGAAGAUGGAAAUUUAGAAAAAAAAAAAAAUAAGAAGAUCAUCAGAAGUGACUUCUGGAACAACCUUUCAGUUGUAGGAGCUGCGAGGAAGCUGGAGCUUUUUUCAAGAUGGGGGUACAGUCACAUUAAUAAAGUCCACAGGGAGGUGUUGGCUGAUUUGCUCUCCAGUUCCUGAUUCCUGCAGCUCCACCUGUUAUCUUAGAUCUCAUGUUCAAUUCUGCAAUCUAUCAUUAAAGUUCCAAUGAAGUUGGACAGUGCAUCUACCAUUUUUUAUGUUAAUAGAAAACCCAUGGCUAUUUUAAGAGAGAUUUAUUCACUGUCUGCUAAGAAGAUGGAACAUGUUAUUCUCCAUAAACUAAUCUAUCCAUUAUUUAAAAUCACUUACUGGCGUAAUGUUCAUAGAUGAGAUUUAUAAAGUAUUCUGAUCUCUUUAUUCUAAUCAAAUAACUUUAAAUCCAAGAUAAAAAGUACCCCCAAAAGCUUCAAACGUGAUAAUUUUUUUUAAAGAAAAUUA